rnacentral:rRNA from 1 species
UACAGAGGUCUCAAGCGUUGUUCGGAUUCAUUGGGCGUAAAGGGUGCGUAGGCGGCGCGGUAAGUCGGGUGUGAAAUCUCGGGGCUUAACUCCGAAACGGCAUUCGAUACUGCCGUGCUUGAGGACUGGAGAGGAGACUGGAAUUUACGGUGUAGCGGUGAAAUGCGUAGAUAUCGUAAGGAAGACCAGUGGCGAAGGCGGGUCUCUGGACAGUUCCUGACGCUGAGGCACGAAGGCCAGGGGAGCAAACGGG